AUUUGGGCCAUUGUUGUUGGGCCAUUAUUUUUGGGCCAUUACAUACACACUCUCUUUUUCAGACUUUCAAAUAGCCCUAACAUGAUAACAUUCAAAUUCCUAAAUCCCUAAUUUUUUCCUCUCUUUCUCUCUCUCUCUCUCGUUCUCCGUCUGACCCUCACCCUAAGUCAAUCCCUAAUUUUUUUCCCCUCUUUCUCUCUCGUUCUCCCUCAGACCCUCACCCAGUCACCCUAAGUUCCCAACUACUUACACCACGACCACACAGCCGCCACCCGCCAGCCCACCACUUGGCACCUCGUCGGUCGUUGUCGUCGAACUCGUUCGCCGCCGUCACCCCAACCUCGUCCGGCGAACUCAUCGACCUAUCAGAUCGACCACUCACCAGGCACCACUAAGCUUUUUUGGUUUAGUGACGACGAUGCAUUCCAUCUCAUAAACCUCUUAGAUCUCCAAUUCCACCUCCUUUGCCUAGUUAGGUACGUAAUCUCCUUCUCCUCCCCUCGUUUUAUUCGAUUUAAUCAGAAUUUGGUUCCCCACAUCUAAUUAAAUCCACUUUGUUGUUGUUGUUGAUGAUGAUGAUGAUGAUGAUGAUGAUUGUUGUUGUUGUUGUUUGCUGGAUUUUUUGAUCGGGUUCAUUGACUGUUGUUGGGGGUGUUGUUAUUUUUAUUGUUGUUGAUGAUGAUGAUGAUGAUGA
rnacentral:lncRNA from 1 species